UUAGCUGGGGUUAAGUGAAAAUACCGACAGUCAGAGACCGUCCUAUUCCGUAUAUAAGCUUUGAUUUUGAUUUGAUAUAUAUGUAUUUAGAAUGAUGUUUUAAGAUGGAGGAUUUAAAUGAAAAGUUGUUAGCUGAAUUGUUAAAGAAGCCUGGAAAUAAUGUGUGUGCUGAUUGCGGGGCAAAAAAUCCAGAAUGGGCAUCGUACAAUAUAGGUAUAUUUGUAUGUGCGAGGUGUGCAGGUAUUCAUCGUUCAAUGGGAGCACAUAUUUCUAAAGUAAAGCAUUUAAAACUAGAUAGGUGGGAAGAUUCUCAAGUGAAUCGAGUACGAGAAGUUGGUAAUAAUACUGCUAGGAUGCAUUAUGAAGAACGUGUUCCUUCUUGUUAUCGUCGACCAAAUCAAGAUGCUCCAAAGGUUUUGAUCGAGCAAUGGAUCAGAGCUAAGUAUGAAAGAGAAGAAUUUUGUCAUCCUGAAAGACAGAAUCAUUAUGUGUCAGGUUUCAUGGAAGGAUUUUUAAUGAAGCGGGGAAAAGAAGACUCACGUUAUCACCCUCGCAAGUUUAUCCUUUCUGAAGCUGAAGAUACACUCAAGUACUAUGUAAAAGAAAACAAAGAACCAAAGGCAGUACUAAGGAUAUCAGAAUUAAACGUAGCUUUUGCUCCUGCAAAAACUGGGAAUCAAAACAGUCUUCAAAUUUCCUUCAUGAAAGAAGGCACAACGCGACACAUUUACGUGUACCAUGAAGAUUCUGAAGUAAUAACAAACUGGUAUCUGGCAAUCAGGUGUGCUAAACUUCAUCGCUUGCAAGUCGCAUAUCCAGGAGCAUCUGAAUCAGAAUUUAUCUCACAACUUACUAAAGAUUUUCCCAAAGAAGGAUUUUUGUGGAAAACCGGACCAAGGCAAUCUGACGCUUAUAAAAAAAGAUGGUUUACGUUAGAUGGUCGCAAAUUGAUGUAUCACGAUGAUCCUAUGGAUGCACAUCCUAAAGGUGAAAUAUUUUUGGGCCAUACUUCUGAAGGCUACGGAGUGAAGACUGGUGUUCCAAUUGGUGCAAAAGAUCAAAAAUUUUCAUUUACUCUAGAAACUCCAGACAGAUGCUAUUUACUUUGCGCUCAGAAUGAAGAGGAUCGAAUACAAUGGAUAAAUGUAUUUCAAGGCGUUAUUGAUAAACCACUUACUCCACAGGAUGCUACUGUGCCCAUUGAUGAACAAGAUCAUGUCCAGGAAAAAGAAAUUCGUAAUGAAAUUACAUUUAAAACGGAAGCAGAGGACAUUGAAGAAGCUGGACGAGGAUGUAGAAGGAAAUGAAGAGGGAGCCAUUAAUGUGAAGGGCCUGGUGGAGGAGGAUGAGGAGGGAAGAGGAGGAGGAGGAAGUUGACGUGGUGGGUUUGGAGAAGGAGGAGAAAUACAACAUACAGAUGGACGAGAGGGCCGCAACCUUAGAAAAUAUGUAUGGCUCUCAACUGCGAAUUCACCAGCAGAUGCAUAAGCAGCAAUUAAUAGAGCAGCAGUUGCAGCAGCAUCAAUGCACUGAGCAACUCCAUCAGCUUUAAAACGAGGGUGGUGUAGAAUCAGCAUUUGAAUUAAGGAAAUGGUCAGCAUGGGUUCAACUGGAAGAAAUCAAAUAUGGGUUUAUACGGUCAACCUGUUUUCCAGACAAUAAAUCGUCCUGUCGCUUCUAUACGUCCUUUUGUACAGGAAAGGCGUAUACCACCAUGCUAUGCUGCAAUUCCAAUUGCACAAGCUCUUUUGGCAGGAUCACCACCUCCAGAAUGGCCAAGCACUCGGCCAAUAGUUAAUUUAUGGCAAAUGGCCUUUCCUGAUGAUGAAAGACCACCUCAACUUUUUUUAUUAAAC